GGGUGCAUGGUCUAGUGGUAUGAUUUUCGCUUCGCAUCCUCUAGUAGGCGCGGAACUUGUGAAAGGUCCUGGGUUCAAUCCCCAGUGCAUCCA